UGGGGGGGGAACCCUGCAGGGUGGACCACAGCAGAAGACUUGUUGUGAUUCUUGCAAACAACUUUGGGAAAACAGAGGAAGACGAGCACAGCGAAGUACGACAGGCGUUUGAAUGACACGCUGAUGAGACACGAUGUCCUCGCCCGGUACGACGCCCAGAACAACCGAGGAAUUUCUCAGAAAAGUGUGUCACCAAACAUCUGCUCAAAUCUCUGGUUCGGGGCCAGAUUAUGGGACAGCUGCCACACCGACAGGGACCUCAGAUGAUUCUUGAUAUGUUGAUUCAGUUAAGAAGAUUGUUUUAACUUUAAUUAAAGAUCCAGUGAGAGCAUUGAAAACACAAGACAAUUAAAUAUUAGAGUUAAAAGCUGCAUUUUAUUUAUCUGUUGUCAAACAUAAUCAUGUGAAUUUAUACAUAUUUUGAUGAUUAAUUAAAAAUUUAAGACACGAUUACAGUGAAAACCAGUCACUUGUUCCAGC